UACAGAGGUCUCAAGCGUUGUUCGGAUUCAUUGGGCGUAAAGGGUGCGUAGGUGGCGGGGUAAGUCAGGUGUGAAAUCUCGGAGCUCAACUCCGAAACUGCACUUGAUACUGCCUUGCUCGAGUACUGGAGAGGAGAUUGGAAUUUACGGUGUAGCAGUGAAAUGCGUAGAUAUCGUAAGGAAGACCAGUGGCGAAGGCGGGUCUCUGGACAGUUCCUGACACUGAGGCACGAAGGCCAGGGGAGCAAACGGG
rnacentral:rRNA from 1 species